CAGCGGCGAAAGGGAGAGUAACGCGUAGAAACGUACCCCGAGGCUGGGAAUAGCAGAGAGAAAUUUCUGGUAAUGCCCAAUAAUGUCUCCGGACCAAAGAUUUAUCACCUUGGGAGCGGUCUGCGUUCUAUUAGCUUGUUGGUGGGGUAAUGGCCUACCAAGGCGAAGAUGGAUACCGGGCGUGAGAGCGUGACCCGGCUCACUGGGACUGAGACACUGCCCAGACACCUACGGGUGGCUGCAGUCGAGAAUCUUCCGCAAUGGACGAAAGUCUGACGGAGCGACGCCGCGUGCUGGAUGAAGGCCUUCGGGUUGUAAACAGCUGUCAUAGGGGAGGAAAUUUUGACCGAUCCUAAGAGGAAGCACAGGCUAAGUUCGUGCCAGCAGCCGCGGUAACACGAACUGUGCGAACGUUAUUCGGAAUCACUGGGCUUAAAGGGUGCGUAGGCGGUUCUAUAGGUCAGAUGUGAAAGCCCACGGCUCAACCGUGGAAUUGCGUUUGAAACCAUAGGACUUGAGUGAGAUAGAGGUAAGCGGAACUGAUGGUGGAGCGGUGAAAUGCGUUGAUAUCAUCAGGAACACCGGUGGCGAAAGCGGCUUACUGGGUCUCUACUGACGCUGAGGCACGAAAGCUAGGGGAGCGAACGGGAUUAGAUACCCCGGUAGUCCUAGCUGUAAACGUUGAGCACUAGCUCGUGCCCCCUCCCACAAGGGCUCGGGCGUAGCGAAAGUGUUAAGUGCUCCGCCUGGGGAGUAUGGUUGCAAGGCUGAAACUCAAAGGAAUUGACGGGGGCUCACACAAGCGGUGGAGGAUGUGGCUUAAUUCGAGGCUACGCGAAGAACCUUACCUAGGCUUAACAUGUUUGGGAAUCUCUAUGAAAGUAGAGAAUGCCUUUCUGGGAACCCUUACAUAAGUGCUGCAUGGCUGUCGUCAGCUCCUGUCGUGGGGAUGUCCGGGUUAGUUCCCUAACGAGCGAAAC
rnacentral:rRNA from 1 species